rnacentral:lncRNA from 1 species
GUGGGCUGCCGUCUAUGGGGUCGCACAGAGUCGGACACAACUAAAGUGACUUAGCAGCAGUAUACUCCUAUAAAUGGGCGUCUUAGGUGGCUCACCAGUAAAGAAUCCACCUGCAAUGCAGGAGAUGCGGGUUCGAUCCCUGGGUAAUGGGAAGAUCCCAUGGAGGAGGGCAUGGUAACCCACUCCAGUAUUCUUGCCUAAAGAAUCCCAUGGACAGAGAAGCCUGAUGGGCUACAGUCCUUGGGGUCACAAAGAGUCUUAGCCUGCUGGCCUCUCCCAAAAACCCGCAUAAUAUCAUCUCCUUCUGAAUAUCAGUGGAUAGAGGCUUCCCUGGUGGCUCAGAGGGUAAAGCGUCUGCCUGCAACGCGGGAGACCUGGGUUCGAUCCCUGGGGCGGGAAGAUCCCCUGGAGAAGGAAAUGGCAACCCACUCCAGUACUCUUGCCUGGAAAAUCCCAUGGACAGAGAAGCCUGGUAGGCUACACUCCAUGGGGUUGCAAAGAGUCGGACACGACUGAGCAACUUCACUUCACUUCAGAGGACUUGGGUUUUCUUUCCCCAAAGAAAAAUAAUUCUGAGUCUUCUGGGGAGCUGUGGGAUUCAGCCUUUGGAAGAGAGGAUAGCAGAUUUACGUUCUCGGAGGUGAGCUAACAACCAGGGGAAAAGCUCAAAAUACAGGAAAGAGGAGAGUUAGACGUCUGCUAGUUCAACGCAGAAUCAGGACGAGCCAUUGCAGAGUUCCUGCCGCGAGAAUCACUGGGCCUCACUGUCACCGUCCCAGCCGAGAGCCCCUGAGAUGUCGCUGUGUGUUCAGAGAUCAAGAAUUAGAAUGAACGUGGCAGCGAACGUACAAUGCCUUCAAAUCCACAGAUCUGGAUCUGUGGACCCACAAGAGCUCAGGACAAAUGGAUUCCUCACUGGACCCCAAAGUCAAUAUCCCAUCCGUCAAAGAGGCCCAUUCCUGCCAUUAUCAUCAGAUGCUGUUGUUCCAUGAACACCCUGGGUACAUGAGUUCUUGUGCUGAACCACUGCAAACAGAUCUCAGCAGUGUUACGGGAGGCAGCUGAAGUCCCCUCCACAUUCCCCCCUCCACCGCCCCCCAGCAGCAACCGGAGAUCUGCUUAUCCCUGCCGGGCACACACAAGGCACACUCAGUAACCUCACCCAAGUUCACUUGCUGGAGCCAAGACUAUUUAAAGACAUCAGUGGAAUUCUUACUCGACCUCAUGACUCAGAGGGAAAUGGCAGUGUGAGGCUUUCUUUGCAGAGCAGGACAGUGGCUGGAGCUGGAGACCAUACAGGCAGCUGUCACACAAACACCGUGUGUGCCAGGAUCUCACCCGCUCGUGUCCCCUGGUGUCUGCUG